UGAAACAUCGAAGAUUGUGUGCUGUGUUAUAGGAGCUAGUUUUCAUAGAUAGUUUGUCUGGAUGUUGCGCCACUAGUUCGUUUGUGAAUUAAAGGCGUUCAGCGCAGGAUGAGUGUUUAUGGAGUUUAGUAGAACGCGGGACGCAGGCACAGCGUCUGGCCUUCCAGUUGUUAAAUAUUAAAAAUGACUUGCCCGCAAACAUCAUCAGGUGUUUGUCGGAAUGAAUAUCGUAUCGCCACGUGGUUCCACCUCAGUCACCACUGCAGAGGUCAGAUGAUGCAAAAUGAGUUGAUUUUUAUAGAAAAGCUGUCCCAUCAUCAAAAUACUGCUUGAGAUGGUCGAAGUGCGCCUUCUGUAAGAGGUGCUGCAGUGCGCUCCGUGAGAAGACGUCUGUCCUGUGGGUCCGUGCAAGGUCAGCAUCUGAAGUGUUUCUGCACGUUUCCUGAGAAUCUGCGCUGUCAGCGUGCUCCAGGUUCUCCAACAGAGCGGUCCGGCUGCAGGUGUCUGCAUCGGUCACUCGACUGUCCGACACUCUGCACUGGCCGCUGAAGUCGUGCUGCAUGGAGAGUUGUGUGCUCUGUUACAGGUGCUGAUGGCCUGUAGGACUGCUGGAGCUCGUGCAGCAGCUCCUGACCAGUGAGUGGAAGUUGUAACAGGAGUGGUGCAAGUCAAACCUAAUAAAGUGUGGAUCGGGUCUUGCUUAUCUGAUGCUGUUUGUUGGAUCAACUCUGUAAAAUAAAGACACAUGUUAGCUGCACGCUACUGAA